rnacentral:miRNA from 1 species
UGUGAUGUGACGUAGUGG